GAUGAACGCUGGCGGCGUGCUUAACACAUGCAAGUCGAACGGUGAAAGAGAGCUUGCUCUCUGGAUCAGUGGCGAACGGGUGAGUAACACGUGAGCAAUCUGCCCCUGACUCUGCGAUAAGCGCUGGAAACGGCGUCUAAUACCGGAUACGAGCUGCGAAGGCAUCUUCAGCAGCUGGAAAGAACUUCGGUCAGGGAUGAGCUCGCGGCAUAUCAGCUAGUUGGUGAGGUAAUGGAUCACCAAGGCGUCGACGGGUAGCCGGCCUGAGAGGGUGACCGGCCACACGGGGACUGAGACACGGCCCAGACUCCCACGGGAGGCAGCAGUGGGGAAUAUUGCACAAUGGGCGCAAGCCUGAUGCAGCAACGCCGCGUGAGGGACGACGGCCUUCGGGUUGUAAACCUCUUUUAGCAGGGAAGAAGCGAAAGUGACGGUACCUGCAGAAAAAGCACCGGCUAACUACGUGCCAGCCGCCGCGGUAA
rnacentral:rRNA from 1 species